CGCGGCCGCUUCCCACUUGAGGGGACUUGGAGAAUAAGUCUCUGAGUUCGGGGUUUAGGGGAGUCCUUAAGCCCUGAGUUCACUUUAAAAAUUAUGUUGUGGUAGAGGGAGAACACUGGGUGUGCUUUCCCAGACGCUUGGCAUUCUUAGGAAAGAACAGGAAUCCUAGAGGCGCAGGGGGCCGCUGAUUGCAGCGCCGGAACGCGUCGCUUUCUGACGGACGUGUCCGAGGAUGCGUCUCCCCGACCCACCAGUGCCUGCUCACCACUCCGGGGCUCCGCCCGCCGGCCGGGGUCCGCCCGGGACCGCGGCGGAGAACCUGUUCCGCGCUGCUCUGGGUUAGCUGAGUGCCUGGCACCGUAGGCCCCAGGGGUCUGCGGGGAAAGGACGUAAGGAACUGGAAGACGCUGAGAGGCAGGAACCAUGAUUGGCUCCUCCGGCAUUGUUUUAGGAUUUGAAGUUGCAUUUCCAGACCUUCUGCUCCCUGGGACAAGUUCCUCUAAAUAGAUCAAGGGAAAUCCAAUGAAUAAAACAUCGCAUAUAAAUAGCGAAUGAAAACAAACAAGCUUCGUGUGAUAGAAAAUGCACCUGUUUUCUCAUCAAACAGAGGAAGUUGAUGGUACCGACAAUGUCACCCGUGAAUGCUUAUUAUGAUUCUAUCAUAUGCUUACCUGAGGGGAAAACCACAGAUAAUAAUGAGAGAAGCUACUGAGUUACAAAUAGAUUUCAGAUUAAGAUGUUGAGAUGCCACUGAAACGAGGAUCGCAAAAUCUGAAACACAGAGGAGGCGUUGAGUCGGGCCCCCUGUGUCUCCACGGGCAGGUUCUUGCUUGUACCCGGGCUGUCUUGAUGACCAGACUUGGCUAAGCACCUAUUCCUCCCCUCCUCCCACUUCUAAAGAGUCCCAGUUUUGACAAGAACAUAUGUUGUCACCCUAAUUAUGGAUAAAAGUAUAAAAAAAUAUAAAACAAUACCUUUAGUAUGAUACCAGUAACUGAUUUUUUUUCAUCCUAAAAUGUGAUAGCUAGGAUGAAAGGUAAUUUUUUUUUUUUUUUUUUUUUUUAAGUAUUUGGCUCUUUCAACCUCUGAUUCAUGCUCUGGCUUUGGAUACCUCUAAAGAUGAGACCCAGUUAGUCCUUCUUUCCCAUUACGAAAGUCUUUCAAGCCACACACGUUGGCGGUAACGCACUGGAGAGCUGCCUCAUCUACAGUUUUCAAGACGUAGAAUGAAAGAUAACCAAAACGCAUUUCAAAGAUCUUGUCCUUGGUCGAUUCAAAAUAGAAAAGUUGUGGGUUUCUCCUCCGGCACUGAACAAAAGCAAACAGGACACAGAUGCUGUCUGUUGCAACCAAGGGUUCAUGCACCUAUCAGCAGUCCUCUUCUCACCUGGAAUCCUCUCGGGUCACGUGCUCCAGCCUCCCAGCCAGCUCUCACCCUUAGACCACACUUCCAGGUCCUGUGCUCAGACUGCACCUAUAAUCCUUGUUGAACGUGUCAAAAAGGAAUUCACUGGUCAAAAUGUCCUCUCUUUCCCUGAUUUUUUUUUUCCUUUUUUUCAGGGGCAUCUUUAUUAGAAGGAAAGACUUUACAAAUGAUUUCUUGCUUUCUUUCUUUUUAUUUUUUUUUAAACUUCCCUGACUUUUUGAUUCUACUUCUGCAGUGGGCAGGAAUGGCAUUCUACCCCCAGGGUGUUAAAAUACGUGGUUUUUAAAACCUAAUACCUUGUGCUGGCUUUUUUCCUGAUCUUCUGGAUGUUCGAGUCUUUAUUCCAGGACGUGAUAACUACACAAACCUCAACUGUGAUCAUAUAUGAGUAUAUCUAAGUCUUUGCUUGUUCUAAAUUCCAGUACCCAGCAGCCUCAGUGCCAGCAGGCUCAAAUCUGCCCUAGGCGCUGUUGCCUGCACUCGUCCCAGAAUAUUACUGAGGGAUGUGGAGUGGGGUACAUGGUUUUGUAUCUCCUAAUUGGAUU